UACGGAGGGUGCAAGCGUUGCUCGGAAUUAUUGGGCGUAAAGAGCUCGUAGGCGGUUUGUCGCGUCUGCUGUGAAAACUCGGGGCUUAACCCCGGGCCUGCAGUGGGUACGGGCAGACUAGAGUGCGGUAGGGGAGACUGGAAUUCCUGGUGGUAGCGGUGAAAUGCGCAGAUAUCAGGAGGAACACCGGUGGCGAAGGCGGGUCUCUGGGCCGUAACUGACGCUGAGGAGCGAAAGCGUGGGGAGCGAACAGG
rnacentral:rRNA from 1 species